UGCGCAGGCGGAAGAGUGUGUUAGAUGUGAAAUCCCAGGGCUCAACUCUGGAACUGCGCCUAAAACUGCUUUUCUUGAGUCUCGGAGAGGUAAGCGGAAUUUGUGGUGUAGCGGUGAAAUGCGUAGAUAUCAUCUGGAACACCGGUGGCGAAAGCGGCUCACUGGAUCUCUUCUGACGCUGAGGAACGAAAGCUAGGGUAGCGAACG
rnacentral:rRNA from 1 species